rnacentral:rRNA from 1 species
AUUGAACGCUGGCGGCAUGCCUUACACAUGCAAGUCGAACGGCAGCACGGGUGCUUGCACCUGGUGGCGAGUGGCGAACGGGUGAGUAAUACAUCGGAACGUACCUUAUCGUGGGGGAUAACGCAGCGAAAGCUGUGCUAAUACCGCAUACGCCCUGCGGGGGAAAGCGGGGGAUCGAAAGACCGCGCGCGACUAGAGCGGCCGAUGCCUGAUUAGCUUGUUGGUGGGGUAAAAGCCCACCAAGGCGACGAUCAGUAGCUGGUCUGAAAGGACGAUCAGCCACACUGGGACUGAGACACGGCCCAGACUCCUACGGGAGGCAGCAGUGGGGAAUUUUGGACAAUGGGGGCAACCCUGAUCCAGCAAUGCCGCGUGAGUGAAGAAGGCCUUCGGGUUGUAAAGCUCUUUUGUCAGGGAAGAAACACCGGCUCUAACACAGUCCGGGAAUGACGGUACCUGAAGAAUAAGCACCGGCUAACUACGUGCCAGCCGCCGCGGUAA